rnacentral:SRP_RNA from 1 species
GCUGGGCAUGAUGGCUCAUGCCUGUAAUCCCAGCAGUUUGGGAGGCUGAGGUGGGUGGACUGCUUGAGGUCAGGAGUUCGAGACCAGCCUGACCAACAUGGUGAAACCCCACCUCUA